rnacentral:rRNA from 1 species
UACGUAGGGCGCAAGCGUUGUCCGGAAUUAUUGGGCGUAAAGAGCUCGUAGGCGGCUUGUCACGUCGGGUGUGAAAGCCCGGGGCUUAACCCCGGGUCUGCAUUCGAUACGGGCUAGCUAGAGUGUGGUAGGGGAGAUCGGAAUUCCUGGUGUAGCGGUGAAAUGCGCAGAUAUCAGGAGGAACACCGGUGGCGAAGGCGGUUCUCUGGGCCUUACCUGACGCUGAGGAGCGAAAGCAUGGGGAGCAAACAGG